AGAGUUUGAUCAUGGCUCAGGAUGAACGCUGGCGGUAUGCCUAACACAUGCAAGUCGUACGAGAGUUUUUAACUCUAGUGGCGGACGGGUGAGUAACACGUGAGAAUUUGCCUUUAGGAGGGGGAUAACAAUUGGAAACGAAUGCUAAUACCCCAUAUGCUUUUAAGUAAAAUGGAUUUUAUCCGCCUAAAGAGAAGCUCGCGGCUGAUUAGCUUGUUGGUAAGGUAAAAGCUUACCAAGGCGACGAUCAGUAUCUGGUUUGAGAGGACGAUCAGACACACUGGAACUGAGACACGGUCCAGACUCCUACGGGAGGCAGCAGUGGGGAAUUUUCCGCAAUGGGCGAAAACCUGACGGAGCAAUACCGCGUGAGGGAAGAAUGCCUAUGGGUUGUAAACCUCUUUUUUCAGGGAGGAAUAAAAUGACGUGUACCUGAAGAAUAAGCAUCGGCUAACUCCGUGCCAGCAGCCGCGGUAAGACGGAGGAUGCAAGUGUUAUCCGGAAUCACUGGGCGUAAAGCGUCUGUAGGUGGUUUAAUAAGUCAACUGUUAAAUCUUGAUGGCUCAACUUCAAAAUCGCAGUCGAAACUAUUAGACUAGAGUAUAGGAGAGGUAAAGGGAAUUUCCAGUGGAGCGGUGAAAUGCGUAGAGAUUGGAAAGAACACCGAUGGCGAAAGC
rnacentral:rRNA from 1 species